GACGAACGCUGGCGGCGUGCUUAACACAUGCAAGUCGAACGGUGAAGCGCCUUCCUUUUUGGUGGGUGUGGAUGAGUGGCGAACGGGUGAGUAACACGUGAGUAACCCGCCCCCUUCUUCUGGAUAACCGCAUGAAAGUGUGGCUAAUACGGGAUAUUCUGGGUCUGUCGCAUGAUGGGUCUGGGAAAGAUAUUGUUUCGGUGGGGGAUGGGCUCGCGGCCUAUCAGCUUGUUGGUGGGGUGAUGGCCUACCAAGGCGGUGACGGGUAGCCGGCCUGAGAGGGUGGACGGUCACACUGGGACUGAGACACGGCCCAGACUCCUACGGGAGGCAGCAGUGGGGAAUAUUGCACAAUGGGCGCAAGCCUGAUGCAGCGACGCCGCGUGAGGGAUGGAGGCCUUCGGGUUGUGAACCUCUUUCGCCAGUGAAGCAGGCCUGCCUCGUUUGUGGGUGGGUUGACGGUAGCUGGAUAAGAAGCGCCGGCUAACUACGUG
rnacentral:rRNA from 1 species